AUGUGGACAUGUCUUCGUCAGCGCUAUGAGCCCUCUGGUGAUGCCUUAUACCUGUCUGUGGUUCGUCAGGAGCAUGCUCUUCAGCAGGGUGACUCUACUGUUGAUGACUUUUAUGCACAGAGUUCUGCUAUCUGGCACCAGCUUGAUUCUCUCCGCAGUGCUGGUUGUCGUACUUGCCCCUGCUGCCAGGCUAUCCAGGACGACUUGGAGUUUCAUCGCGUCUACGAGUUCCUGUCUCGGCUCCGUAAGGAGUUUAAGCCCCGGCGUGCUCAGUUGCUUGCUCGUGGCCGUAUUUCUCUCAUGGAGGCGCUUUCGGAGAUUCGUGCUGAGGAGACUUGCCUACGCGGUGCUGGUUUGCUGGAGGUUCCCUCGGUGCUCGCUACUCGGGUUUCUUCCACUCCACCUGCUGCACCGCCCCAUUCUCGCUCAAGUGCUCCGCCGCUCUUGCCCACUCCUUCUGGAGGCUCAGGUCGGCCCCGUUCACAUUGUGACUACUGCAACAAUGAUGGUCAUAUUGAGUCCCAGUGCUACACAAAGCGGAAACACCUGCGCAAGGCGCGAUCAUCCUCCUCAGGGACUUCGUCA
rnacentral:rRNA from 1 species